UUUAUUGGGCCUAAAGCGUCCGUAGCCGGUUAAUAAGUCUCUGGUGAAAUCCUGUAGCUUAACUGUGGAUGCUGGAGAUACUAUAGACUGAGACCGGGAGAGGUUAGAGGUACUCCCAGGGUAGAGGUGAAAUUCUGUAAUCCUGGGAGGACCGCCUGUUGCGAAGGCGUCUAACUGGAACGGUUCUGACGGUGAGGGACGAAAGUUAGGGGCGCGAACCGGAUUAGAUACCCGGGUAGUCCUAACUGUAAACGAUGCGGACUUGGUGUUGGGGUGGCUUUGAGCUGCUCCAGUGCCGAAGGGAAGCUGUUAAGUCCGCCGCCUGGGAAGUACGGUCGCAAGACUGAAACUUAAGGAAUUGGCGGGGGAGCACCACAACGCGUGGAGCCUGCCGGUUUAAUUGGAUUCAACGCCGGACAUCUCACCAGAGGCGACAGCUGUAUGAUAGCCAGGUUGAUGACUUUGCUUGACUAGCUGAGAGGAGGUGCAUGG
rnacentral:rRNA from 1 species